rnacentral:rRNA from 1 species
UACGGAGGGGGCGAGCGUUGUUCGGAAUUAUUGGGCGUAAAGGGCGCGUAGGCGGCCGGCCAAGUCGGGUGUGAAAUCCCUCGGCUCAACCGAGGAACUGCACUCGAUACUGGCUGGCUCGAGUCCGGGAGGGGAUGGUGGAAUUCCCAGUGUAGCGGUGAAAUGCGUAGAUAUUGGGAAGAACACCGGUGGCGAAGGCGACCAUCUGGACCGGAACUGACGCUGAGGCGCGAAAGCCAGGGGAGCGAAUGGG